rnacentral:rRNA from 1 species
AUUGAACGCUGGCGGAAUGCUUUACACAUGCAAGUCGAACGGCAGCACGGGGGCAACCCUGGUGGCGAGUGGCGAACGGGUGAGUAAUACAUCGGAACGUGCCCGGUCGUGGGGGAUAACGUAGCGAAAGUUACGCUAAUACCGCAUACGAUCUGAGGAUGAAAGCGGGGGACCUUCGGGCCUCGCGCGAUCGGAGCGGCCGAUGUCAGAUUAGGUAGUUGGUGGGGUAAAGGCCUACCAAGCCGACGAUCUGUAGCUGGUCUGAGAGGACGACCAGCCACACUGGGACUGAGACACGGCCCAGACUCCUACGGGAGGCAGCAGUGGGGAAUUUUGGACAGUGGGCGCAAGCCUGAUCCAGCCAUUCCGCGUGCAGGACGAAGGCCUUCGGGUUGUAAACUGCUUUUGUAUGGAACGAAAAGGCUCUGGCUAAUACCUGGGGCUCAUGACGGUACCGUAAGAAUAAGCACCGGCUAACUACGU